rnacentral:rRNA from 1 species
UACAGAGGGUGCGAGCGUUGUUCGGAAUUAUUGGGCGUAAAGGGCGCGUAGGCGGUGCGGUAAGUCACCUGUGAAAUCUCCUGGCUCAACUGGGAGUCUGCAGGCGAAACUGCCGUGCUCGAGGGAGAUAGAGGUGAGCGGAACUUAGGGUGGAGCGGUGAAAUGCGUUGAUAUCCUAAGGAACACCGGUGGCGAAAGCGGCUCACUGGAUCUCUUCUGACGCUGAGGCACGAAAGCUAGGGUAGCGAACGGG